AGAAAAAUUAAGAGAAGAGAUAAGGAUUAAAUCCAUGCGCCACCCCUUGGAAGCGCCCCUUUGAAAUUUCAAAUGGGGAGAUAAGUUUUAACUUAUCCACGCCCCUUAAUCUCUUGCACCCUUCCUCAAGUUGGCACCCUCUAUCUUGGCCAUUGGAUGGGCUUCCUUCCAGAUCCAAAGGCAUGGGUUGAUGGUGCCAAUAAGAGAAGCUUUGUGACUUCUCAUGUGAACACCGUAAGU
rnacentral:lncRNA from 1 species